UUCACACUGUCUCUUAGGUGUGCAUCUCCCUAAGACCACAGUUAAUGAACAUCAGAAGGAUGCUGUAUAAAAUAGUACCUCUGAACAUAGUUAAUAAGUAAUGUGCUAGUAAGUAACACACUAGGAAGCUUAGCACCAUUACUAAAUUUUGUAAAACAAAUUGUGCUCUGUCAAGAAAAAGUCUUUCAGAGUGCAGCUUUUUCCAAAUAGAGUGGAUUAUUGUUCAUAGCUUGCUCUGGCAUCAGCUUUACAAAAAGGAGUCAGGAGGAAGGAGGGAAGGGAGUUUCUUAUCCCUUCCUCUGCGUGAUGACAAGAAAAAAUUCAACUGGAAGUUUCACAAAGUCUUCAUUCACAUAAAAUGUCUGUUGGAUUUAAUCUGCUGUCGCCAUUGACUUUUAUAAGAAAUUUUCCCUGAGCCAAGAACUUCCAGGUUUAGACGCAAGAGAUAUUUGGUUUUGCUUUUGAAGACCAGAGAGAAUUAGUCAGGGUAUGGCUGAUUCUCUAGAUUUAUGUUACUAACAGAUAAUUUAGUUUAUAAAAUAUGUUUAUGGAAAAACAUUACUGAUGCAAUCCAUUGUGAAUUAGACUUUUCCAAAUUACCAAGUUAAGCAAAUGAACACAGUGCUAGUGCAAAAAUCAGCUAGUAUAUUUUGUGCAUUGAUUUUGACAGUUACAGACCUUUUUAAAUUAUUUAUGAUCCUUCGUGUAUUAAUAAAUGAUCUGUGGUGUAUUUUAUAAAUAAAAUGAAAUCUUAGUAUUAUCUCAGCUCACCACAGACUCCUAUAUUAAAUCUUUGCUGAAAGGUAGGGAAAGACAUUCAAUGUUUAUACAGAUUAUACAGUAUGGUCACUUUAUUCCAUGGUAUUAAUUUGCCCACUUUCAGUCUGAAUUGACUUUUUAUGCAGUCUGGAGUAUCUGGAGGUGCCACAGCAGUUCUCUUGCCUGAAUAUUAAAUGUGCAACUUCAUUUCCUCUUGAACUGGCAACACAAGCAUAUUUUUUCUUCUCUAGGGUUUGACCCUUCAUAGAGAUAUUUCAUUUAAGAGUGCUUUUGGCAUAAUUACGAUUGCUGGGGAGUGGUAAAGGCAGGCUGUUCCACAAAGGAGGAUGAGCUGGGAGCAAAGGGCAACCCAGAUGCAAAGGAUCACACCAAGAAUGUGCAAUCCCACAGCAGCAGAGCAAGGCAAUGUUGGUGAUAGUGACAGGUCCUAUGGACAGCCAGCAAUCAUCAAACGAGAUGAAGUGAUGAACCUGGGAUGGGUUUCAUCUAGGGACUGCAUUAAAUAGCAGCAGGAGACAGGGCUUGGGAGUGGUACUGCUGUGGUGUAGCUCAGGCAGGCCCGACCUGCCAAGGGCUGAGCUGAAAUUUGGUUUCUGGACCAAGAGGCAGCAGGCUGAACAACCCCAACUCUCUUAGUAGCAGAGAGAGAGCAGUAUCUCUGUCUUCACAGCAGAGGGGCUCCAGCCUGCUGAUCAUCUCUGUGGCCCUCCUCUAGACUCACUCCAACAGGUCCAUGUCUUUCUUGUAGUGAGGACUCCAGGGCUGAACACAGUACUCCAGAUGCCAACAUGCAAUGAAGACAUGAAAUUUAUUUUCUUUCUGAGUCAGAGACCUGUGAAUCAAAUUCUUCGGAAGUAUCAUCCUGAGUAAGUAUUUACAAAAUACUCUUGAAGAACUUACUUACGAUCACUUUUACACGAGUUUCACAGCUAAGAGGAGGAAAAUACUUGAUGUUGAUCAAGAAAGAAAACAGCCUCACCAACUGAGCACCUAUGAAUGGUAUCUCUGCAUCUUGUAUGUUUUCACUAGUACUCUGGAGAAUUAAUGGUGUCAGACACAGAUGCGCAUUGAAGUAGCUUGGCGAGAUGAUUGUGGAGAGAUACUAACAGCUGCAGAGUUCAUAAGUGCAAACAGCUUUGGAAGGAUGUAGUAGACACCUGGCUCUGCCUGAAGUCAGUGUGUCAAGGCCUCUUCUCUUUUACAUUGAUAUCUGUUGUCCAAAUGCUUGGAGUGGAGAUGACACGUAUGCGUUAAUCCUUCCUCCCUUUUUAAAACAACAACAGACUGUGACCUCCCUGUGCAUGCAAUUACUGAAUACCACACAUUAAGAAACUGGGCACUUAGUCAGCAUGGGACUGUUUUUUCUCAGUGUAAAAGAUGCUGGAUUUUAUAUUCAUCUUUAUGAAUAUAUGAGGAAUCACGAAUUAAAGGAAGACAGAAGAGGAAAUUCACAUGUCUAUUCAGACACUUAUUAAGGUUAACACUGAACCAGAGAGGGAAGGAAUUUGAGGCUGAAGCACAGGCACAGCAGUGGAAUGCAUCCUGAGAACACGGCUGUAGAUGUUCUGUGCUCGUGCAUCCGAUAGGGAGGUGACAGGAGCAUCCUAGAGGGAACUGAGGCUUCUGAGGUGGGAACACUGGAAGAAAAUAGUCCUGCCUGCCUCUUCCACGUGCAUUUCAGUAGGAUGGAAAAUAUGGCUUCUUUUCCUUUGACUCUUGAUGACUCGCACAAUAAUAUCAAAGGCUCCUAUGGUCUCUGUGGCAUUCUCCUCAUCUAAACCUUGGGGGCUGAUCAGUGCAGAGACAUGGACACUGACCAUGUCUUCCUUCUGACCAUGACAGUCUUCCUUUGGCUUCUGUGUGGCAGAAUAAUACCUCAAGUUAUUUGAAGAAAGGUUAUGUCAAAGAUGGUCAGGAAAGAGGGACUUUUACUUGGACACUGUCAAAACACAGACUUUUGGUGACCUUGAUUGUUUCAUCAUCAGCAUAAACUGGGUCUGCAGCCUUCAAAAAAAGCCCCCACUUUGGAAAUGCUUCCAGUGCUGGAUGGAAAAGAUUGAGAUUAAAGAAUCUUUCACAUCUGUUUCCCUGUCAACAGCUUAAAUUUAACUUACAACAGUUACAAGUGAAAGUCCAUGUGCUGUUUGGCCUGUGUAAAGACUUUGUAGACAUUUGUGUACAUCACAAAUGGUGUUAAUUGGCAGCUGUGUCAACAGCCUCUUUGAAGGAACUGGGAGUUCAUUAGGCACAUGGACAGAGCUGGUCUUUCGCUGGUAAAAAAUACCCCUUUCAUGUGAGGAACUUUAGAGAGACUAGCAUGGGGAAACUUGCCAAGACACUGCUUGGUUUCUAAUCAUGACAAUAGUUGCAUUGCUAAGGACCGUUACCAUUCAGCAGUGGUCCUGUGGUUUCCCUGCCUCUGGUGCACGGAGGAGUGACAAGAAGUCAGGGCUGCACUCUCCCAUCAGGGGUAGGCAUUUGCU